AGAGUUUGAUCCUGGCUCAGGACGAACGCUGGCGGCGUGCUUAACACAUGCAAGUCGAGCGGUAAGGCCCUUUCGGGGGUACACGAGCGGCGAACGGGUGAGUAACACGUGGGUGACCUGCCCUCAGCUCUGGGAUAAGCCUGGGAAACCGGGUCUAAUACCGGAUAUGACUCCAUGACGCAUGUUGUGGGGUGGAAAGCCUUGUGCGGCUGGGGAUGGGCCCGCGGCCUAUCAGCUUGUUGGUGGGGUAGUGGCCUACCAAGGCGACGACGGGUAGCCGGCCUGAGAGGGUGACCGGCCACACUGGGACUGAGACACGGCCCAGACUCCUACGGGAGGCAGCAGUGGGGAAUAUUGCGCAAUGGGCGAAAGCCUGACGCAGCGACGCCGCGUGGGGGAUGACGGCCUUCGGGUUGUAAACCUCUUUCAGCAGGGACGAAGCGAAAGUGACGGUACCUGCAGAAGAAGCACCGGCCAACUACGUGCCAGCAGCCGCGGUAAUACGUAGGGUGCAAGCGUUGUCCGGAAUUAUUGGGCGUAAAGAGCUCGUAGGCGGUUUGUUGCGUCGGCUGUGAAAACCUGAGGCUCAACCUCAGGCCUGCAGUCGAUACGAGCAGACUAGAGUGUUGCAGGGGAGACUGGAAUUCCUGGUGUAGCGGUGAAAUGCGCAGAUAUCAGGAGGAACACCGGUGGCGAAGGCGGGUCUCUGGGCAACAACUGACGCUGAGGAGCGAAAGCGUGGGGAGCGAACAGGAUUAGAUACCCUAGUAGUCC
rnacentral:rRNA from 1 species